UCCAGUAUGGUGUAGUGGUCUGAGCGUUGGACUAUGAUUCUGAAGACCAGGGUUCGAAUCCUGGUUCAGCCA